UCUGAACAAAUAACUGGGGAAUGACAAGCGAAGGGUGGUUUCCAUGUGUAGUAGGAGAGGGAGAGUGGCCUUACUUGUUGAUGGGCCUGCCGAGCAAGGAGGACGAGCCUGUAAAGCAGUUCUUUAUACAAAGAACUGGGGAAUGACAAGCGAAGGGUGGUCCCUAUGUGUAGUAGGAGAGGGAGAGUGGCCUUACUUGUUGAUGGGCCGCCAAGAAAGGAGGACGAGCCUGUAAAGCAGUUCUCUAUACAAAGAACUGGGGAAUGACAAGCGAAGGGUGGUCUCCAUGUGUAGUAGGAGAGGGAGAGUGGUCUUACUUGUUGAUGGGCCACCAAGCAAGGAGGAUGAGCCUGUAAAGCAGUUCUCUAUACAAAGAACUGGGGAAUGACAAGCGAAGGGUGGUCUCCAUGUGUAGUAGGAGAGGGAGAGUGGCCUUACUUGUUGAUGGGCCCCAUGUGUAGUAGGAGAGGGAGAGUGGUCUUACUUGUUGAUGGGCCUGCCAAGCAAGGAGGACGAGCCUUGAGAAUCAACCACAGGCUGUUAAAAGGGACUUUCAACCUCUUCAACUACAUAAGCUCAAAAGUGAUAUCACCAAGGCCAACAACUUUCUUAGUGCAUCAGAGAUGCUGGAGUGGGAAGAGUUGUUGGCACAACUUGAUGAGGAGGGCCAGUUGGGGACAGAAGAUGGAGAUCACCGUCACUUUGUAAUGACUUAGUAGCAAAUGCAAUUGAGAGGGAAGCCACCCAAGCUGUUGUUGAAGACUUAACCGAUGAUGAACUCUCUGAUGACAAUCUCAAUGCAGUUCAAUAUCUCCAAAGCGAUCUACACGUCAUCAAGAAGAUGUCCAGACAGACUGGCCUAUGAUGAAGGAACUAUACAAGUAAUCUCAUU